rnacentral:rRNA from 1 species
GAGUUUGAUCAUGGCUCAGAUUGAACGCUGGCGGCAGGCCUAACACAUGCAAGUCGAACGGUAACAGGAAGCAGCUUGCUGCUUCGCUGACGAGUGGCGGACGGGUGAGUAAUGUCUGGGAAGCUGCCUGAUGGAGGGGGAUAACUACUGGAAACGGUAGCUAAUACCGCAUAAUGUCGCAAGACCAAAGAGGGGGACCUUCGGGCCUCUUGCCAUCGGAUGUGCCCAGAUGGGAUUAGCUUGUUGGUGGGGUAACGGCUCACCAAGGCGACGAUCCCUAGCUGGUCUGAGAGGAUGACCAGCCACACUGGAACUGAGACACGGUCCAGACUCCUACGGGAGGCAGCAGUGGGGAAUAUUGCACAAUGGGCGCAAGCCUGAUGCAGCCAUGCCGCGUGUAUGAAGAAGGCCUUCGGGUUGUAAAGUACUUUCAGCGGGGAGGAAGGGAGUAAAGUUAAUACCUUUGCUCAUUGACGUUACCCGCAGAAGAAGCACCGGCUAACUCCGUGCCAGCAGCCGCGGUAAUACGGAGGGUGCAAGCGUUAAUCGGAAUUACUGGGCGUAAAGCGCACGCAGGCGGUUUGUUAAGUCAGAUGUGAAAUCCCCGGGCUCAACCUGGGAACUGCAUCUGAUACUGGCAAGCUUGAGUCUCGUAGAGGGGGGUAGAAUUCCAGGUGUAGCGGUGAAAUGCGUAGAGAUCUGGAGGAAUACCGGUGGCGAAGGCGGCCCCCUGGACGAAGACUGACGCUCAGGUGCGAAAGCGUGGGGAGCAAACAGGAUUAGAUACCCUGGUAGUCCACGCCGUAAACGAUGUCGACUUGGAGGUUGUGCCCUUGAGGCGUGGCUUCCGGAGCUAACGCGUUAAGUCGACCGCCUGGGGAGUACGGCCGCAAGGUUAAAACUCAAAUGAAUUGACGGGGGCCCGCACAAGCGGUGGAGCAUGUGGUUUAAUUCGAUGCAACGCGAAGAACCUUACCUGGUCUUGACAUCCACGGAAGUUUUCAGAGAUGAGAAUGUGCCUUCGGGAACCGUGAGACAGGUGCUGCAUGGCUGUCGUCAGCUCGUGUUGUGAAAUGUUGGGUUAAGUCCCGCAACGAGCGCAACCCUUAUCCUUUGUUGCCAGCGGUCCGGCCGGGAACUCAAAGGAGACUGCCAGUGAUAAACUGGAGGAAGGUGGGGAUGACGUCAAGUCAUCAUGGCCCUUACGACCAGGGCUACACACGUGCUACAAUGGCGCAUACAAAGAGAAGCGACCUCGCGAGAGCAAGCGGACCUCAUAAAGUGCGUCGUAGUCCGGAUUGGAGUCUGCAACUCGACUCCAUGAAGUCGGAAUCACUAGUAAUCGUGGAUCAGAAUGCCACGGUGAAUACGUUCCCGGGCCUUGUACACACCGCCCGUCACACCAUGGGAGUGGGUUGCAAAAGAAGUAGGUAGCUUAACCUUCGGGAGGGCGCUUACCACUUUGUGAUUCAUGACUGGGGUGAAGUCGUAACAAGGUA